rnacentral:rRNA from 1 species
GAUGAACGCUGGCGGCGUGCCUAAUACAUGCAAGUCGAGCGAACAGACGAGGAGCUUGCUCCUCUGACGUUAGCGGCGGACGGGUGAGUAAAACGUGGAUAACCUACCUAUAAGACUGGGAUAACUUCGGGAAACCGGAGCUAAUACCGGAUAAAAUAUUGAACCGCAUGGUUCAAUAGUGAAAGACGGUUUUGCUGUCACUUAUAGAUGGAUCCGCGCCGCAUUAGCUAGUUGGUAAGGUAACGGCUUACCAAGGCAACGAUGCGUAGCCGACCUGAGAGGGUGAUCGGCCACACUGGAACUGAGACACGGUCCAGACUCCUACGGGAGGCAGCAGUAGGGAAUCUUCCGCAAUGGGCGAAAGCCUGACGGAGCAACGCCGCGUGAGUGAUGAAGGUCUUCGGAUCGUAAAACUCUGUUAUUAGGGAAGAACAAAUGUGUAAGUAACUAUGCACGUCUUGACGGUACCUAAUCAGAAAGCCACGGCUAACUACGUG